rnacentral:rRNA from 1 species
GAUGAACGCUAGCGGCAGGCUUAGUACAUGCAAGUCGAACGGUAACAUGAGAGCUUGCUCUUGAUGACGAGUGGCGCACGGGUGCGUAACGCGUAUGCAACCUACCUUACACAGGGGGAUAGCCCGGAGAAAUUCGGAUUAAUACCCCAUGGUACUAUAAUGAAGCAUUUUAUAAUAGUUAAAGCAUUGUGGUGUAAGAUGGGCAUGCGUCUAAUUAGCUAGUUGGUAAGGUAACGGCUUACCAAGGCUACGAUUAGUAGGGGGUCUGAGAGGAUUAUCCCCCACACUGGCACUGAGAUACGGGCCAG